AAUCAACGCUGGCGGCGCGCUUAACACAUGCAAGUCGAACGAGAAAGCCCGCAAGGGUGAGUAAAGUGGCGUACGGGUGAGUAACACGUGGGUGAUCUGCCUUUUGGUGGGGAAUAACCCUGGGAAACCGGGGCUAACACCGCAUAAGCUCGAAAGAGGAAAAGAGCAAUCUGCCGAAAGAGGAGCCCGCGGCUGAUUAGCUAGUUGGUGAGGUAAGAGGUCACCAAGGCGAAGAUCGGUAGCCGGCCUGAGAGGGCACACGGCCACACUGGCACUGAAACACGGGCCAGACUCCUACGGGAGGCAGCAGUGGGGAAUCUUGCACAAUGGGGGAAACCCUGAUGCAGCGACGCCGCGUGAGCGAUGAAGCCCUUCGGGGUGUAAAGCUCUUUCGGCAGGAACGAUGAUGACGGUACCUGAAGAAGAAGCUGCGGCUAACUACGUGCCAGCAGCCGCGGUAAUACGUAGGCAGCGAGCGUUGUUCGGAGUUACUGGGCGU
rnacentral:rRNA from 1 species